rnacentral:rRNA from 1 species
CGCGUAGGCGGUUAAUUAAGUGAGAUGUGAAAUUCCUGGGCUUAACCUAGGGUGGUCAUCUUAAACUGAUAGACUAGAGUAAUGUAGAGGGUGGGGGAAUUUCCGGUGUAGCGGUGAAAUGCGUAGAGAUCGGAAGGAACACCAGUGGCGAAGGCGCCCACCUGGACAGAUACUGACGCUGAGGCGCGAGAGCGUGGGGAGCAAACAGGAUUAGAUACCCUGGUAGUCCACGCUGUAAACGAUGAGAACUGGAUGUUGGGCAGCUUAGACUGUUCAGUAUCGAAGCUAACGCGUUAAGUUCUCCGCCUGGGGAGUACGGCCGCAAGGUUAAA